AGCGAACGCUGGCGGCAGGCCUAACACAUGCAAGUCGAACGAAGUCUUCGGACUUAGUGGCGGACGGGUGAGUAACACGUGGGAACGUGCCUUUAGGUUCGGAAUAACUCAGGGAAACUUGUGCUAAUACCGAAUGCGCCCUUCGGGGGAAAGAUUUAUCGCCUUUAGAGCGGCCCGCGUCUGAUUAGCUAGUUGGUGAGGUAAAGGCUCACCAAGGCUACGAUCAGUAGCUGGUCUGAGAGGAUGACCAGCCACAUUGGGACUGAAGACACGGCCCAAACUCCUACGGGAGGCAGCAGUGGGGAAUCUUGCGCAAUGGGCGAAAGCCUGACGCAGCCAUGCCGCGUGGAUGAUGAAGGUCUUAGGAUUGUAAAAUCCUUUCACCGGUGAAGAUAAUGACUGUAGCCGGAGAAGAAGCCCCGGCUAACUUCGUGCCAGCCGCCGCCGUAAUAC
rnacentral:rRNA from 1 species